rnacentral:tRNA from 1 species
GGAGAGGUGGCCGAGCGGUUGAAGGCACCGGUCUUGAAAACCGGCGAAGCGCAAGUUUCCGUGGGUUCGAAUCCCACCCUCUCCGCCA